UACAGAGGUGGCGAGCGUUAUUCGGAAUUAUUGGGCGUAAAGCGCGUGUAGGCGGCCAUCUAAGUCGGGCGUGAAAUCCCACGGCUCAACCGUGGAAGUGCACUCGAAACUGGAUGGCUAGAGUCCUGGAGAGGAAGGUGGAAUGCUUGGUGUAGAGGUGAAAUUCGUAGAUAUCAAGCGGAACACCGGUGGCGAAGGCGGCCUUACUGGACAGU
rnacentral:rRNA from 1 species